CUGCUCUCAGCCCUGAUGGUUUUCUGCCUUUGCAUUGCCCACAUCCCUACCAAGGAGGAAAGUUAAACCACUCCAAGGUUUUGGAAAGAAAUGUGCUGGGAAAACCUCCAAAGGUCUGGAUUGAAGAGAAGAGAUGUAAUGCCCAUACAUGGGGGUAAAAAAGCAUGAGGGACUGAUUGGGAAUCAAGCAUUCAGCCUACAGCCAUUAAAGGGAAACAGUGGGUUUGUCUUUUUCUUAAAGCCAUCAAGUUUCAGCUACUAUUUUUCAUACAGUCACCCCUCCUCUAAGGUGUGUUACAUGUGGCUGUAACAUGUUUGUAGCCAGAAUUUUCUCUGGAAUCAGCACACACAGAGCAAGAUGACUUUUUGGUGGUUCUGCAGUGGGAUACAGCUGCAGAGUGCAU